CCUACGGGAGGCAGCAGUGGGGAAUUUUGGACAAUGGGGGCAACCCUGAUCCAGCAAUGCCGCGUGAGUGAAGAAGGCCUUCGGGUUGUAAAGCUCUUUUGUCAGGGAAGAAACGGUUCUGGCUAAUAUCCGGAACUAAUGACGGUACCUGAAGAAUAAGCACCGGCUAACUACGUGCCAGCAGCCGCGGUAAUACGUAGGGUGCAAGCGUUAAUCGGAAUUACUGGGCGUAAAGCGUGCGCAGGCGGUUUUGUAAGACAGAUGUGAAAUGCCCGGGCUUAACCUGGGAACUGCAUUUGUGACUGCAAGGCUAGAGUGUGUCAGAGGGGGGUAGAAUUCCACGUGUAGCAGUGAAAUGCGUAGAUAUGUGGAGGAAUACCGAUGGCGAAGGCAGCCCCCUGGGAUAACACUGACGCUCAUGCACGAAAGCGUGGGGAGCAAACAGGAUUAGAUACCCUGGUAGUCCACGCCCUAAACGAUGUCUACUAGUUGUCGGGUCUUAAUUGACUUGGUAACGCAGCUAACGCGUGAAGUAGACCGCCUGGGGAGUACGGUCGCAAGAUUAAAACUCAAAGGAAUAGACGG
rnacentral:rRNA from 1 species